ACGCUGGCGGCGUGCCUAAUACAUGCAAGUAGAACGCUGAAGGAGGAGCUUGCUUCUCUGGAUGAGUUGCGAACGGGUGAGUAACGCGUAGGUAACCUGCCUGGUAGCGGGGGAUAACUAUUGGAAACGAUAGCUAAUACCGCAUAAUAGUAGAUGUUGCAUGACAUUUGCUUAAAAGGUGCAAUUGCAUCGCUACCAGAUGGACCUGCGUUGUAUUAGCUAGUUGGUGGGGUAACGGCUCACCAAGGCGACGAUACAUAGCCGACCUGAGAGGGUGAUCGGCCACACUGGGACUGAGACACGGCCCAGACUCCUACGGGAGGCAGCAGUAGGGAAUCUUCGGCAAUGGACGGAAGUCUGACCGAGCAACGCCGCGUGAGUGAAGAAGGUUUUCGGAUCGUAAAGCUCUGUUGUAAGAGAAGAACGAGUGUGAGAGUGGAAAGUUCACACUGUGACGGUAUCUUAACAGAAAGGGACGGCUAACUACGUGCCAGCAGCCGCGGUAAUACGUAGGUCCCGAGCGUUGUCCGGAUUUAUUGGGCGUAAAGCGAGCGCAGGCGGUUAGAUAAGUCUGAAGUUAAAGGCUGUGGCUUAACCAUAGUACGCUUUGGAAACUGUUUAACUUGAGUGCAAGAGGGGAGAGUGGAAUUCCAUGUGUAGCGGUGAAAUGCGUAGGUAUAUGGAGGAACACGGGUGGCGAAAGCGGCUCUCUGGCUUGUAACUGACGCUGAGGCUCGAAAGCGUGGGGAGCAAACAGGAUUAGAUACCCUGGUAGUCCACGCCGUAAACGAUGAGUGCUAGGUGUAGACCCUUUCCGGGGUUUAGUGCCGUAGCUAACGCAUUAAGCACUCCGCCUGGGGAGUACGACCGCAAGGUUGAAACUCAAAGGAAUUGACGGGGGCCCGCACAAGCGG
rnacentral:rRNA from 1 species